AGUCGGAUUACCCAAAUUACACUCCACUGCUUUCUAAAAUCAUGGAGUGUUUGCUCUCUGAAAGUAAGGAAGAUAAGAUCGUCUACAAUGAAGAGCUAAUAGAUGCAGCAAAUGAGGUUGUUGAUAGUGUUGACAAAGAUGAAUUAUUGAAGUUCUUUUCGGUCAACCAUGAUCCUGAAGAUGACAAGGCAGAGGCAAUGAAAAAGAAGAUGGAAGCAACACGAGACCAGUUGGUAGAAGCAUUAUACCAAAAAGGAUUAUGACUUUAUGAUUAGGAGACAUAGUACCGUUGGGAAUAAGGCAUUUGUGGAUGAAUACACAUCGUCGAUGGCUGGAAUCACUGAUGACACCAAAAGAAAAUGGGAGGAGUUCCCCAAGCAGGCAGAGAACAAUUCUAAGGGUGGGUCCUUUAGUAAUUUUAUUUAUAUAUUACUAUCAUGGGCUGGCUGUUUUUUCUUUUCCUUGCUUUGGUUAAUAACACAAUCUUUUGUUUUUACGGACUGUUCCCCUUCAAGCAUUGUGGAAGCUGCUUGAGAGCAACAGAAGCAGAUGCAUGAUACUGGUAACAGGAUGGGCGGUAAACAUGUUUCAGCAGUUGAGUUAUA